AACGAACGCUGGCGGCAUGCCUAACACAUGCAAGUCGAACGAGACCUUCGGGUCUAGUGGCGCACGGGUGCGUAACGCGUGGGAACCUGCCCUUAGGUUCGGAAUAACUCCCCGAAAGGGGUGCUAAUACCGGAUAAUGUCUUCGGACCAAAGAUUUAUCGCCUUUGGAUGGGCCCGCGUUGGAUUAGCUAGUUGGUAGGGUAAAAGCCUACCAAGGCGACGAUCCAUAGCUGGUCUGAGAGGAUGAUCAGCCACACUGGGACUGAGACACGGCCCAGACUCCUACGGGAGGAAGCAGUGGGGAAUAUUGGACAAUGGGCGAAAGCCUGAUACAGCAAUGCCGCGUGAGUGAUGAAGGCCUUAGGGUUGUAAAGCUCUUUUACCCGGGAUGAUAAUGACAGUACCGGGAGAAUAAGCGCCGGCUAACUCCGUG
rnacentral:rRNA from 1 species